ensembl:lncRNA
CUUUAUGGUUUGCACACUCUACCAGUGUCCAGUGAGGCCUGAGAAAGGUUCAUACACCUUGAACAUGCUUUACUACCUCCAGAGGCAGUGACAAGCCAUCCUGGUACAGGGGGGUAGCAGAGGUUGCUGCCAGAGAGACCCAUGCUCUUGCCAGCAGCUGCAGAUGGAUUAGCCUCUGUGAUGUGUUCCCCUCAUGCAUCCCUACAGUUCUUGUAAGGAAACCAUGGUGAGGUCACUACAAGUCUGGAGAAGGAAACGCAGGAAACUGACUAAAGAAGCUGGAGGGAGAGAGGCUGAGAGCCAUUCCUGGCCUUUUGUGUGCUAGCCAGCCUGCUGCUUUGCUGCCAGAGCCUUCACUGCAGCAGCUAAAAGAGAGACAAUCGUCUGUCUAGAGAGGUUACAGCACAGCACACAUUUCAACCAGCUUUACAGGCAUCCACAAAGAGAAACAAGGAAUAAAAUGUAUGCAUUGGCAAGGCAAGCUGGCAUACACUGUCCUCCUCAGGGAUGUGACGACUUCUCAGCAAACCCUGUGGGAUUUUGUUCUCAGCAAUCCCUGCGGGAUUUACCGACAUUGUUCCCUCUGAUAUACUCCCACCCAUGCAAUGUAGUGUCCCAUCCUGCACAAGGUAAGCCACCACACUACUAUGGGCUAUGCCACAUCCUGCACAGGAUGAAUCACUGUACAGUACUGUGCAAGAUGGGGGUGCCUAUGUGCAUCUCCUGCAAGGAGUUGUUGUAUCCAACGCACCACCUACCACAAGAAUGUGACAUUUUUCUUUUGUGCAAGGCAUGCUGUGAGGCAGUUGAGAUGUCUUACAAUCUUUUCUCUCUGAGGAUCCCUUGAAGGAGGAAAUCUUGAAGCCAGAAGGGGAUUUUUUUUGGGGGGGAGCUAUCCUUCUUGAAGAGAGCAACAUGCAAAUUCCCAGUCUUGACUUCAAUUUUAUUCUCUCAACUCCCCUGUGAGGCAGGUUAGGUUAAGAGACAGUAAUUCAAUGAGAUUUUGUAGCUGCUGGGUCAUAAAAAAAACCUGGUUUCCUGAGAGUGUGUGGUAGGACCGUGGGGAACAACCCAUAAUGGAACCAAAACCACAGUGAGAUCAGCAUUAGUCCAUGCCUGAAGUAGGAGAACCAAAUUGUCAAAGGAGUGGAUACACCCCAAGUGUAAUGGCAGGCAGCUGCUUCUGCCAGGUUGACAGAAGACUCAGAACAGAUUAUUGUGAUUUCUGGUUAGCUCCAGUGGUCAUUAACAUUUUUAAAGGAAGUUAUUUGUGUCAAGCUCUUGUUUCAAGUUUAGAGACAGACAGACACAGACACUCUGCUUUGACAGCAAAGGGCUCUAACAACAUAGUGCUGUUUAAUGCAAAGAGCCUCCCUCUCAUACAUGGCUUACAGACUUGAACCACUUUGUGAGUGAUUCCCAGAGUUGAACUUAGGCAGGGCUGAGCUCCAGGGUUUAGCAGUUAAGCUAUUAGCAGAAUUCACUUGGACAGCAGAGAGUCAAAGAGGUUUGGUAUGCCUCCAUGGGUGGAAUAAUUUGUUAGGAAGAUCCCUGAUCACAUCUCCUGCUCUUAAAGUUAAGUUAAGGAGGAUCCAUGGACAGAAAUCAAAUGGACAUAAAUGAAAAAGGCAUUAAUAAAUUACUUGACAUAGUAUGGGAAGAAGUUAAA